AGCACCAAAAAUUUCCCGCCGUGCGUCUCACGAAUCUAUCUGACGGGACGGUUGAACCUCAAACCCUCGCUGCCUCCCACGAGUCCACGACCCUCCCUGCCUCCUCCAGAUUCCACACCUGUACUGCCGGCGCCGUACACGAUGAGCCACAGGCAGAGACGCCCGAUCUCCUCCGGCCCUCCCUGUACGGCCCCUGGCAGCUGUGGCUAGCACGCCGCGACGCCGCCCCAGCCUCCUCCGUACCCCUCCCUGUACGGCCCCUGGCAGCUGUGGCUAGAACGCUGCCCCUACGCACCCCAGCCUCCUCCGUACCGUGGCCUUCACACUUCAGGCCUUCGCUCUCUCGAGGUCGCUUCCCCGUCGAUCCACCACGAGAAUCUGUAUGCCCAUGGCUCCACAGGACGGUGGAUGUUGCACGUGAUCUCCACACUCGCCUCGAGGUGCUCAUGCCCUUUUCAGUAACGUGCUUAACUAUAUCUAAUUAUUAUUAGUUUCUUGAUUCUGGAGUUUUUUUUCAGGAAGUUGCUAAUACAUGCAUAGAUUUGAUGCUAAUGCGGUGGUACUGAUCGGUGCUUUGAGGCAUAGCACUAUUUAUUUUUUGAUUAUUUUGAUGGCCAUAUUUACUUUCUCAAUGUUUCUAUUACUACCUCCGACCAUAAUAAGUGUCGAGAUGGAGUACAUCAGUUUUGAUCCUUUUUACUUUACAACAGUUAAAUUAGUGCAGAUACCCUGUUUAGCAAAAAAAUUAACAGUGAUUCUUAGGACGAAAUUUGUUUGUUCUUCAAUUUGUUCAGCACCCAAGCUCAGUUUGAACUAUCUAAAACUAAGAUGGAUGGCGCUUUACUGAUUUUAUCUCAUAUUAGUGAUUGAUAUAACAUAUCAAAGCAAUACAAUUUUGUUCCUAGAAGAUACAGUACAGGAGUAUUGGCAAAAAUUCGUAAAUAUUAAUUGGUGCUUGUGACCUUAUCAAGUUUUAUGUGGAUGAGUUAAUUUACUGAUGAAACUAAUAACAUAUCCGAUGUCUUGAUCCGCUCAAGGGUCAUUAAGGAGCUGAAUCAAUGGAUGUUUAAAAUUUUACAAUAAAAGUGCUCAGUGCUUCAACUCCGAGAGUCUCCCUAAUUAAUGCAGGUACGCAUGUUGCUCUUCUCUGUGGCCUAUUCUUCAUCUAAGAGCUAGAAGAAUCAUGGUACCGCUCUUGCAGCUUGGGGGGUGAUGUUGUGCUAUUAUUAUGCAUGGACUCAUGGAGUGGAGUCAUGGUUACUGCGGCAGUGCUCCUACGGAGGUUAUUGGGACAAGCCGACAACGUGUUUGAGUUAAUAGGCAAACCAAAUUCUGUGUGGGGGAGCAUAAUUAAGUAUUCGAUCUUCAGUUAUAGAACAACGAGUUGCAGCCCUAGGGAAGAAAAACUAUCCUUCAAGUCCACACAAUGGAUUUUAAAGGUGUGCACAUGAUUAUUUCUAGGUACCUCGAUCUAGAUAACAUGCAGGAGAUUGGUAAAGCAAUAUUAUUUCACUACAACAUACAGAUGUGCUAUAUCAAGUUUUAUCUUCAUAUGAAGUGGUGGAGAAGAUAUGCCAGUCAUCCAGUUGACAUGUUCUAGAGUUUCUGUUGCCUUAUUGUGAUGCUUCGCACGGUGGCUGAAUCGAUCUCCUACAUCUCGCCUUGCUCAAUAAUGUCAAGAGAGUGGUGCUGAAAUUAUGUAUUACCUCCUUGAAAUCCUUCUGCCUCUGUAGGGUGUCUGCUAUGUCGCCUCCUCUCCAUGUCCACCAUUGAUGGCAGCUGUCAGAAGCCGCCCCCAACAUUAGACUGCCUAGAACUCCUUGUGACAAGCACUUACUGUCAUAAAUUCGACCCAUGUAUCCAAGAUGUUGUCCCUUCCGGUAAUUUUUUUGAAUGUCCACAGAUGUUCCAAGAUGUUGUCCCUUCUCUCCUUUUAAUUAAUCUGAAAGUUUUGGUUCCUCAUGUACGAGAAAUGUAUCCAAUUCAGAAAGCUGUGACAGCAAUAAUGAUUUUGAUUGGAUGGAUGAACAACAAACUAUGGAGCCAAAGCACACAAGUGUAAGUCAUCACCAAAAAGGACACUUUCAGGACACUUUCAGGUAAUCUAGUUAUCCAUUGAAGCACAUUCUACGCCUUUUUGCCCUUUUUCUGGAAGAGAGGAUUCUAUGUAUCUGUGUGAAUUCUAGAAUUUACACUCACGUGGAAUGCUGUUCAGCGAAGCAUGCGAAGAUAGGAAAAUGUCCCAAAAGAAUGAGGUUUUCAUGCGUCUUCAGUCAACACUAUCUCUACAGAAACAUGUAACAACAAUCCACGGGUCAUGACUUGAGAUUAAAAAAGAAACAGGUAAUCUGAAAUUUUGCUGCCAUAACCAUGGGAAGAAAGUCUACCUCCAGAAGACUCUGUUGUAUGAGGGACAAGGCGACAGCAGAGGACACCGAUCUGAACAGAAACGAUGCGAUGCGAGGGCAAAGCACCAGCAGAGCACCGAUUGAUCUGAACAGAAACGCGACGGGAUCGAGGGCAAAAUACAAUUGGGGAUGCUGCAAGUAAUGGUGCAUUGUGGAAUAAACAAGAGGGUUGUAUUGCGCAAUAGUAGUAGAGCGUAUCAUCUCAAGAUUUAUCUGCAGGAUUUUAUUUUGCAGAGGAAACUAAUCAACAUCGUGGAACAAGAGUUGGGUAUAGAUCAAGGCUAUGUGUAAGCAACUCCGGUAUUAAUUAAUACAAUUGUAAGUCUUUAAUUUGUUGGAGUUGCCUCUCACAACUCACAAGAACACGCACAAGAACAAGGUCUCACAACUCACAAGAACACGCACAAGAACAAGGGAUCUGGCAAUGGCUGCCUCUCACGGCCUUGCCCUAGAUCAUCAAGUAAAUGUCCUUUGCAGUGAAUAUACUAAUAUUUAAUAAUGUAUUUAGUGCUAUAGCUAUAACGUAUCACAUAAUCCAUGCAGUGUAUGGAGCAAGAAGCAAUAUUAUGCAAUUACUAGAAAAACCAGUAGUCGGGUAUGCGAAGGUUCUUGCUUGAAUAAUAGUACAACGAAGUAGAAAUAGUAGCGCUGGCACACUCGAUUUUCUGACAAAUCUACUGUCGUGUAACUCGUAGGUUGCCUGUGCACUUAGAUUUCUCUGUUUAAGUGUAAAAUUUAGUGACUUAUUUGCAAGUCCUUUUCUGCAUUGAUUUUUAGACUGUGGUAUAUAUAUACAUCUGAAUUGUUCUUUACUUUCUGGUGUAGUGACCACUUGCGUCAUUUGGGUUAAGGUUCAGUUUAUUUUGCUAAACCAGUCAUGCAACAUUAGCGUAAUAAUCAUAUGGUGUACCCGGGAUAUGUUUCUGAAUACAACAAUCUAUUUUCUAACAAAUUAGAUUGUUAAGUUUUUCUUAUGUUCCUCUUAUCGUCUUUCCAGAUUUGCAAGUUUUGUCUUUUUGUGUGAAAAUGUAUGUUGCAAGGCUUUGUUAAAAAAGACAAUAUUAUAUUUACAUAAAAAGCUAUACAAAUCCUUAUAAUUUUGUUGGAAGCAUAUAGCAUUGGUCCACCGAAGAACCAGAACAAGGCAUGUCAGCAGUUUAUUCACUAUGAAACUCUAAGCUGGAAUUAAUGUUCUUAAUUGAUGAUUAUUAAUGAAUGCCAAGAAUAGGUGUUUACCUGAAUGGUACUGCUAUUCUUGACAAUGGGGUCCAGUUGAUCUUCCAAAAACUGUGUGUUGCAGCUUUGGCACAUGGAUAAUUGUAGAGGGAAUAAGAAAAGUGAUCAAUGAUGUCUUCUGCAGAAGCACAUAGGCAAACAGUUUGAACAGACUGCACAGAUUUGAAAUUGACAUGCCGUUUAGAUUAAAAUCACCGUUUACCCUUUUGUCCAACCGAGAAGGCAAGGGUAUUGGUACCAUCACAAGAAAUAAAUAUGAACACCCUGUGCUCCCCUCACGGAGGACCCAAUAUCACUACACAAGCUUUAGAGUGGCUAAGCCUCGCAAGACAAAGAAAAUAUAUUGAUAUACUCUCUCCGUCCAACAAAAGAUGUCUCAAGUUUGUCAAAAUUUGGAUAUAUC